rnacentral:misc_RNA from 1 species
GUGAACAAUUAAAGUAGGCAACAAUUGCUCACAAAGGGAAAAUGAAAGCAGGGCCCAAGUGCUUAUGAAGAUACUUUAUCACAUUAUACAUGCAAAAAACAACUAGCAAGUAGAAAAAAGCACUACGAAAAGCAGAAAAGUGCAUAUUAUAUGAACAAAUCAAGUAAUCUGAUAAUCAUUAUCACUCUCAAAACUAGUAAGUUAAGUUUCUUUACAGGGGAGUAUAAAUAAGUUCAAAGUAUCUACUUGAUAUUGUCCUCCCGCCCACAAACCAAGCAAUGCAUCAGUGGGCUCACUACGAAGGCAAAAAAUUGCAAACAAAUGCACACACAUAUAUGUGAGCAAACACACACACACACAUAAAAGGCUCUGUAUCACAUUGACAAUAAAUCAGUGGACAAGAUAAACAUUAACAGGCAAGUCUAAUUAACAUUAUUUCGAGCUCUGUCCUGAAUAUACGUCUGCUAAUGCCCACUGCAUAUGUUUUACACGUGCAAAGAAGGUGAAGAACUCCAAAAUUUUAACCAUCUUCUAGCUCUCAAGACAAUAAUUAAACCAAUAAGCCAACAGCCAACUAGUGAUUAAAAUUACUUGUUGCAUUCUUGUUUGCUGCUUCUCCAGACUUUAUUCAGCAUUGAUACAAGACUCAUGCUCAUUUUUCAAACAAGUUUCAGCAAAUCGUUCUUUAAAUACCAUUCCAAAGUUCUCACUUUUCAGCCUUUUUUUUCCCUUGGCCAGGUUAUUACCAACAUGAAAAUCAGCAUCAAAUACCAAAUUUUCACUGUAAUAAGCAAACCAACGUGACAUUGCAAUUUCUACAUUUCCACACACAGGAAUGUCCUUUAAAUAAUAUCAAAUGGUUCUCUUUGCUAUCAUUGAUUUUCUUCUUCCUCCUUUGCUUUGGCACUGGGGAAAGGGAAAAGGAUUAAAACCCAACUAACAGAGAUUGUGUUAAAAAAUGUGAAUACAUCACAUCCAUAAAAGCAAAAAACCUUUGUUAGCUCAUAACUCAAUUGUCACAGUUAUAUACUUAGAAACUCUAACAAUGGAUUUAAAUCACAGUCGUGGGUAACGAAGACAGGUUUGUAACACAACACUAACAGCUUUGAAAC